UGGGGAAUCUUGCACAAUGGGCGAAAGCCUGAUGCAGCGAUUCCGCGUGGAGGAUGACGCAUUACGGUGUGUAAACUCCUUUUCUGGUGGAAGACGAAUGACGGUACACCAGGAAUAAGGGACGGCUAACUACGUGCCAGCAGCCGCGGUAAUACGUAGGUCCCAAGCGUUAUCCGGAUUUACUGGGCGUAAAGAGUUCGUAGCCUGAUAAAUAAGUCUGUUUUCAAAUACCUCGACUCAAUCGAGGAAAGGGGAUAGAUACUGUUUAUCUAGAGAUAUUUGGGGGUUAGUGGAAUUUCGGGUGGAGCGGUGAAAUGCGUUGAUAUCCGAAAGAACGCCGAAAGCGAAAGCAGCUAACUACAAUACAUCUGACGGUGAGGAACGAAAGCUUGGGGAGCAAACGGG
rnacentral:rRNA from 1 species